rnacentral:lncRNA from 1 species
GAGGCCGAGGCGGGUGGAUCGCUUGAGCCCAAGAGUUCGAGAUCAGCCUGAGCAACAUGGUAAAAUCCCAUCUAUUCAAAAUAUACAAAAAUUAGCUGGGCAUGGUGGCACGUGCCUGUAUAUCCAGCUACUCAGGAGGCUGAAGAACGACAAUUGUUUGAACCUGGGAGGCAGUGGUUGCAGUGAGUUGAGAUUGUGCCACUGCACUCCAGUCUGGGUGGCAGAGUGAGACCCUGUCCAAAAAAAAAAAAAAAAAAAANNNNNNNNNNUUUUUUUUUUUUUUAGAGACUAAGCUCAGGAGUUUGAGACCAGCCUGGGUAACAUAGUGAGACCUCAUCUCUACAAAAAACUUAAAAAUUAGCCAGACAUGGUGGUGUGUGACUGUAAUCCUAGCUACUUGAGUGGCUGAGGUGGGAGGAUUGCUUGAGCCUGGGAGGUCGCGGAUGCAGUGAGCCAUGAUUGUGCCACUGCACUCCAGCCUGGGCAACAAAGCAAGACACUGUCUAAAAAAAAAAAAAUCAAUUUGUGUAAUCCAUCACGUCAAUAGGUUAAAGAAGAAAACUCAUAUGAUCACAGCAAUAGAUGCAGAAAAAGCAUUUAAUAAAAUUCAGCACCUGUUCAUGAUAAGAAUUCACCCUGGGGCUUUUUAUAAAAAUUAAGAAGAUAGUAAUAACUUUUACCUGGAUAAAUUAUUGGUCAAGCAUACUGGGAGAGUUGACUCACUUUGCUAGAGUUUUGUUUUCUAUUUUUCUUUUUUUCUUUUUUCUUUUAUUUUUUUUAAGAGAUGGAGUCUCGCUCCGUCACCCAGGCUCCCAGGCUGGAGUGCAAUGGCAUGAUCUCGGCUCACUGCAACCUCCGCCUCCCAGGUUCAAGCGAUUCUGCUGCCUCAGCCUCCCAAGUUGCUGGGACUACAGGCAUGUGCCACUACGCCUGGCUAAUUUUUGUAUUUUUAAUAGAGACAGGGUUUCACCAUGUUGGCCAGGCUGGUCUUAAACUCCUGACCNNNNNNNNNNNNNNNNNNNN